rnacentral:lncRNA from 1 species
GGAUGAACUUUCCUUACACAGUGGAAAUCAUUGUUUUCUAACUCCGGAGUCCCUUUGACGCUCGGGAAGAUGCCCAGUGGAAAAGUACACCUCGGGACCAUCAGCUUUCCUUGGCCACGCCAGUUACCUGUGCGCCCAGAGAGGCAGCGGAUUCCACCGAAGAUAAAAACCCAGGCUAAGGCAUUCAAAGUUCACCCCAAAGCGCCUGUAUAACGUACCUUGUUCAGCUCCUGCUCAUAGACUCGUCCUCCGCCUGUCUGUGUGGUCCCGGAGGGUCGUGGAAGGAAGUUUCCAAAAUUGAGGCAAAGUCUCCUUUUUCCACAUCAACCUAAAAGUCCGGUGAAGACUCAGCAGAGCCUAGCAAGAGCGGAAUGGAGGUCUUUGGCUGGUUCAAGUCCCCGGUUCAAUGGGCUGCUCAGAGCCAGGACUGGAGAAACGCAGCGCACAGAUGCUGACCAUCGCCUGAUACCUCUCCACAGGCAGUGGCCAAGAAGUGGGAAGCCCUGCUCUGUAAAUAUUGCUGAGACCUGAAAACAUGCAAAAGAUUUUCGAAAGGAGGUUUAAACUAAUGAUGAUAACGAUAAACCUGAGAAAAUGUGUACGGAAGCAGUCGCCUCUUAAGACAUCUGAAAUUACUUUUGCUUCUUGAAAGUCUUUUAGUUAAUGUUUUCAAAAUACUUUUUA